rnacentral:lncRNA from 1 species
CUGGGGCUGGAGAUGAGAAAAGAUACAGCACAAAUUUUUACCCUGCAAACUCAUGAGAAAUUAUUCUGGAAAAGUCAAGGCUUCGUGGCAAAAGAUCUCCUUUUUCAACCUGCUUUGUAAAAGACACCUGGAGGAUUUACAACUUGACUUUCUAUGAGGGCAGAAGGCGUAACAUGCCUUCAAGAGUCGUCGUGUUCCUCUACUUUACCUACAACACCUGCAACAAUGAACGUGAAGACCUGUGGCGAACCCUGCUCUGAUUACUUCAGGGGCCCUGAGUAGGAAGCAAUAUCUUUGCUGGUGAUUUGCCAUUAAUGCCCAGGCCCUAACCCAAUCGUGGCUGGUCUCUGAGAUACACUGAUUUCUGAAAGAAGUGAUAUACGUAAGUAAUACAGUACUGCUUUUUAAAAUAGACGCUUUGCACAUGCCUUGUAAAUAAAAAUCCACACUUGUUUUAAGAAAGCACUUUAAUAUGCUAGGGACAAUGAAUUUUUAGUAUCUAAUUUGACCUCUUGAUAGCACUUCUGGUAAAUCUGAAGUUAACUAACAGGUUUCCUCCACACUUCGUAUUUUCAGUCUUUGGUUGACAGUGCUAUUUAAAACAAAAAAAAAAAGGCUACUUAGUUAG